rnacentral:rRNA from 1 species
AACGUACGCUGGCGGCACGCCUAACACAUGCAAGUCGAACGAAGUAGCAAUACUUAGUGGCAGACGGGUGAGUAACAUGUAGGUAUCUGCCCUUUGGCCUGGAAUAACACGAGGAAACUUGUGCUAAUACCGGAUAAGUCUUUACGGAGAAAGCUUUAUGCACCAUUGGAUGAGCCUGCACUUGAUUAGUUUGUUGGUGGGGUAAUGGCCUACCAAGACUGUGAUCAAUAGCUGAUUUGAGAGGAUGAUCAGCCACAUUGGGACUGAGACACGGCCCAAACUCCUACGGGAGGCAGCAGUGGGGAAUCUUGCACAAUGGAGGAAACUCUGAUGCAGCGAUGCCGCGUGAGUGAAGAAGGCCCUUGGGUUGUAAAGCUCUUUCGUCGGGGAAGAAAAUGACUGUACCCGAAUAAGAAGGUCCGGCUAACUUCGUGCCAGCAGCCGCGGUAAUACGAAGGGACCUAGCGUAGUUCGGAAUUACUGGGCUUAAAGAGUUCGUAGGUGGUUGAAAAAGUUAGUGGUGAAAUCCCAGAGCUUAACUCUGGAACUGCCAUUAAAACUUUUCAGCUAGAGUAUGAUAGAGGAAAGCAGAAUUUCUAGUGUAGAGGUGAAAUUCGUAGAUAUUAGAAAGAAUACCAAUUGCGAAGGCAGCUUUCUGGAUCAUUACUGACACUGAGGAACGAAAGCAUGGGUAGCGAAGAGGAUUAGAUACCCUCGUAGUCCAUGCCGUAAACGAUGUGUGUUAGACGUUGGAAAUUUAUUUUCAGUGUCGCAGCGAAAGCGAUAAACACACCGCCUGGGGAGUACGACCGCAAGGUUAAAACUCAAAUGAAUUGACGGGGACCCGCACAAGUAGUGGAGCAUGUGGUUUAAUUCGAAGAUACGCGCAGAACCUUACCAACACUUGACAUGUUCGUCGCGACUCUAAGAGAUUAGAGUUUUCGGUUCGGCCGGACGAAACACAGGUGCUGCAUGGCUGUCGUCAGCUCGUGUCGUGAGAUGUUGGGUUAAGUCCCGCAACGAGCGCAACCCUCACUUUUAGUUGCCAUCAUUAAGUUGGGCACUCUGAAAGAACUGCCAGUGAUAAGCUGGAGGAAGGUGGGGAUGACGUCAAGUCCUCAUGGCCCUUACGUGUUGGGCUACACACGUGCUACAAUGGUAUCUACAACAGGAAGCAAGACUGCGAGGUCAAGCAAAUCCUUAAAAGAUACCUCAGUUCGGAUUGCACUCUGCAACUCGAGUGCAUGAAGCUGGAAUUACUAGUAAUCGUGGAUCAGCGUGCCACGGUGAAUGCGUUCCCGGGUCU